GCUUAUCACCGUUCCAGAUUGAAUAUACCCGAUCUCGUCUGGUCUCGGAAGUCAAGCAAUCUCUGGCUUGGUUAGUACUUGGAUGGGUGACCGCUUGGGAAUACCAAGUGUGAUAAGCA
rnacentral:rRNA from 1 species